AUACUUUCUUCAGGUAGAUUUGCCGCGCUUCUCAUGGCCAGCCCUUCCAUUGUCUUUUGUUAUCUACAAAUUCUUUUGUUACCUACAAAUCGACCAGAUCCGAUUUGGAAGAGAAACGGGCAGUAGGAAAUAGAACGUAGACGAGAGAAAUAGCACGAGAGUGUAGUAUAAAAUUUAGACAGUGUGAAUAAUAAACGUAAAUUGUCGUUUCUUUGUUCACAGAGAAACAUAUUUUCGUUUAUCACCUCAUAUAAUUAAUCCGAGAUAUUAUA